UACGGGGGGGGGUAAGCGUUGUUCGGAAUUACUGGGCGUAAAGGGCUCGUAGGCGGCCAACUAAGUCAGACGUGAAAUCCCUCAGCUUAACUGGGGAACUACGUCUGAUACUGGAUGGCUUGGAUUUGGGAGAGGGAUGCGGAAUUCCAGGUGUAGCGGUGAAAUGCGUAGAUAUCAGGAGGAACACCGGUGGCGAAGGCGGGUCUCUGGGCCGAUACUGACGCUGAGGAGCGAAAGCGUGGGGAGCGAACAGG
rnacentral:rRNA from 1 species